AACAAACGCUGGCGGCAUGCCUAACACAUGCAAGUCGAACGAGACCUUCGGGUCUAGUGGCGCACGGGUGCGUAACGCGUGGGAACCUGCCCUUAGGUUCGGAAUAACUCCCCGAAAGGGGUGCUAAUACCGGAUAAUGUCUUCGGACCAAAGAUUUAUCGCCUUUGGAUGGGCCCGCGUUGGAUUAGCUAGUUGGUAGGGUAAAAGCCUACCAAGGCGACGAUCCAUAGCUGGUCUGAGAGGAUGAUCAGCCACACUGGGACUGAGACACGGCCCAGACUCCUACGGGAGGCAGCAGUGGGGAAUAUUGGACAAUGGGCGAAAGCCUGAUCCAGCAAUGCCGCGUGAGUGAUGAAGGCCUUAGGGUUGUAAAGCUCUUUUAACCGGGAUGAUAAUGACAGUACCGGGAGAAUAAGCUCCGGCUAACUCCGUG
rnacentral:rRNA from 1 species